rnacentral:rRNA from 1 species
UGGGUCUAAUACCGGAUAUGACAAGGAACCGCAUGGUUUUUUGUGGAAAGGGUUUGUACUGGUUUUAGAUGGGCUCACGGCCUAUCAGCUUGUUGGUGGGGUAAUGGCUCACCAAGGCGACGACGGGUAGCCGGCCUGAGAGGGUGACCGGCCACACUGGGACUGAGACACGGCCCAGACUCCUACGGGAGGCAGCAGUGGGGAAUAUUGCACAAUGGGCGCAAGCCUGAUGCAGCGACGCCGCGUGAGGGAUGACGGCCUUCGGGUUGUAAACCUCUUUCAGCAGGGAAGAAGCGAAAGUGACGGUACCUGCAGAAGAAGCGCCGGCUAACUACGUGCCAGCAGCCGCGGUAAUACGUAGGGCGCGAGCGUUGUCCGGAAUUAUUGGGCGUAAAGAGCUUGUAGGCGGUUUGUUGCGUCUGCUGUGAAAGACCGGGGCUUAACCCCGGUAUUGCAGUGGGUACGGGCAGACUAGAGUGCAGUAGGGGAGACUGGAAUUCCUGGUGUAGCGGUGAAAUGCGCAGAUAUCAGGAGGAACACCGAUGGCGAAGGCAGGUCUCUGGGCUGUAACUGACGCUGAGAAGCGAAAGCAUGGGGAGCGAACAGGAUUAGAUACCCUGGUAGUCCAUGCCGUAAACGUUGGGCACUAGGUGUGGGGGGACAUUCCACGUUUUCCGCGCCGUAGCUAACGCAUUAAGUGCCCCGCCUGGGGAGUACGGCCGCAAGGCUAAAACUCAAAGGAAUUGACGGGGGCCCGCACAAGCGGCGGAGCAUGCGGAUUAAUUCGAUGCAACGCGAAGAACCUUACCAAGGCUUGACAUAUACUGGAUCGCCUCAGAGAUGGGGUUUCCCUUCGGGGCUGGUAUACAGGUGGUGCAUGGUUGUCGUCAGCUCGUGUCGUGAGAUGUUGGGUUAAGUCCCGCAACGAGCGCAACCCUCGUUCUAUGUUGCCAGCACGUUAUGGUGGGGACUCAUAGGAGACUGCCGGGGUCAACUCGGAGGAAGGUGGGGAUGACGUCAAAUCAUCAUGCCCCUUAUGUCUUGGGCUUCACGCAUGCUACAAUGGCCGGUACAAAGGGUUGCGAUACUGUGAGGUUGAGCUAAUCCC